UGAUCCCUACGGGACGCAGCAGUGGGGAAUUUUGCGCAAUGGGGGAAACCCUGACGCAGCAACGCCGCGUGCGGGACGAAGGCCUUCGGGUUGUAAACCGCUUUCAGCAGGGACGAACUCCGACGGUACCUGCAGAAGAAGCCCCGGCUAACUACGUGCCAGCAGCCGCGGUAAUACGUAGGGGGCGAGCGUUAUCCGGAUUCAUUGGGCGUAAAGCGCGCGUAGGCGGCGCGUCAAGCGGGACCUCUAACCCCGGGGCUCAACCCCGUGCCGUGUCCCGGACUGGCGCGCUCGAGUGCGGUAGG
rnacentral:rRNA from 1 species